UGGGGAAUCUUGGACAAUGGGGGCAACCCUGAUCCAGCCAUGCCGCGUGAGUGAUGAAGGCCUUAGGGUCGUAAAGCUCUUUCGCCUGUGAAGAUAAUGACGGUAGCAGGUAAAGAAACCCCGGCUAACUCCGUGCCAGCAGCCGCGGUAAUACGGAGGGGGCUAGCGUUGUUCGGAAUUACUGGGCGUAAAGCGCGCGUAGGCGGACUGAUCAGUCAGGGGUGAAAUCCCGGGGCUCAACCCCGGAACUGCCUUUGAUACUGUCAGUCUUGAGUCCGGAAGAGGCGAGUGGAAUACCGAGUGUAGAGGUGAAAUGCGUAGAUAUCAGGAGGAACACCAGUGGCGAAGGCGGCUACCUGGACCAGUUCUGACGCUGAGGCGCGAAAAGCGUGGGGAGCAAACAGGAUUAGAUACCCUGGUAGUCCACGCUGUAAACGAUGGGUACUCGGUGUUGCGGGUGUUGACCCUGCAAUGCCUUAGCUAACGCGUUAAGCGCCCCGCCUGGGGAGUACGGCCGCAAGGCUAAAACUCAAAGGAA
rnacentral:rRNA from 1 species